ACUGCGUUGUGAUGUGUGUGGGGCCAUACGAGGCAAGUUAGCUUUGCUUCCUGAACUGAAAGCAGGGAAGGAGGCGGAGCUUCGGGGUAGACAUGCCACGGGAAUGGAAGCGGGGGCAGAGCCAUGAGCAGGGCGGAGUCCGAGAGGCGGUGUCAGCCAAUAGGAGUCGAGUCCCGGCGCCGGCAGUAGUAGACUUCCGGGUGCGUUUCCGGGAUUAUCCGGUUGGACAAAGUAUUUUUCUCGCAGGUUGGCAUCUACUGGAAAUGGUGCGGUUUGCAAUGACCGAAAAUUACUUAAUUUACUUUUCAACGGGAGGUUUUAAUGCCAGAUUAUAGUUAUCGUAGAUUUUAUAAACACGUAACCGCGUUUGUCACGUUGCGUCAGCAUGUUGACAACUAGCCAACAUCGUUCAACAAACGUAAAGGUAUGAAAUUUAACCCACGAAGAAAUACUCACGUUUCAGCCACGUGGCUCGGCACAUGGUGGAGGCUAAUUUAGAGCACCGUUCAUUCAAAUCGUUAAACAACGUGAUGCAGCAGGAAUUGCGACAUCAGAGUAAGUUGUGUAAA